rnacentral:rRNA from 1 species
ACGAGUUUGAUCAUGGCUCAGGAUGAACGCUGGCGGCGUGCCUAAUACAUGCAAGUCGAACGAGGUGCUUUUGUAGCAAUACGAGGAGUAUCCUAGUGGCGAACGGGUGAGUAACGCGUGGGUGACCUACCCCAAAGUGUGGAAUAACAGUCCGAAAGGAUUGCUAAUGCCGCAUGUGGUCUGCGAGUUUAGAAAUCGUUGACUAAAGGAGCAAUUCGCUUUGGGAGGGACCUGCGUCCCAUCAGCUAGUUGGUGAGGUAACGGCUCACCAAGGCUACGACGGGUAGGGGACCUGAGAGGGUGGCCCCCCACAAUGGAACUGAAACACGGUCCAUACACCUACGGGUGGCAGCAGUAGGGAAUAUUGCACAAUGGGCGAAAGCCUGAUGCAGCAACGCCGCGUGCGCGAUGAAGGUCUUCGGAUCGUAAAGCGCUUUUCUGAGAGAUGAGAAAGGACAGUAUCUCAGGAAUAAGUCUCGGCUAACUACGUG